GGCCGUCUGAUCUUGGAUUUUCAGUUUCCAAGACUGUGAGCUGCAUAAAUCUCUUUUCAUUGUGCAUUAUCCAGCUAUUUCAUCACAGUAACGGGAAAUGAACUAAUACAUAUGGGAAAGAAAUUUUCAUUUCAAGUAUAGACUUUCCCCCGUCUCCAUUAUCUCUCACAAAAUUUGCUUUCUAACUAAGGCAAGGUAACAGAGUGGGGGCUAAAGACUAGAAAGGAGAUGCACUAUUAGGAAUGAUAUCCAAAUGAUAUUUGUGAUCUCAAGGCUGUAUCUUUUGCUUUUGUAAGGAUUGAUUAACUCUGGCUAUGCUGAAGAGUACUUAUUUUCUCUCUCUCUUUUCCUGUCUCUCACAUCACCAGUGGAACCCAAUGAAACAGUGAUUGGCUGAUGAAAUCUAUCAUGACUGCCAGACACAAAGAAAUGGACUUUCCUGGUGCUGGAAUUCAAGAGAAAGACCUCCAGAAAAGGGAGAGGCCCUGCCGACUCCAAGAUGGGAAAGGAAGGCAGGGGUCCAGGACAAGGUCAAUGUCAUAGCAAUGCCUCAUGCCAAAAAGUGUUGCCCUUUCCAAGGACACCUUUCCUGUGGGGGUGCACAGACCCAGACGCGGAGAUAGUUUUGAUUCUCGGUUGGUUGGACCUGAUGACAUGAAACUACUGAUAUGGAAGGUUCACUGUUCUUAGAUGGACCACCCUCAUCUGUUGCUGGCCAAUGGAGAAGUCAUCACACAGCAUCACAGGAUGACAGAGC
rnacentral:lncRNA from 1 species